AUAGUAUGAAGAAAGCAUACUUGUGGUUAAACAUUUGUAAUGGAAAACUGAGGUGAAAAGAAGUUUGGAAACAGAAGAAAUAAUCAUGAAUGAGAAAGGAGAAACGGCUGCUGCUUGCAUCAACAAUUGGGUCAAGCAUCUGUGUUCUGAAGCGAAUAUUUAGUCCUGGUAUCAACUAGAGGUUACAUCAAGUCUAUGGCUGGCAUGAUUCAUGAAGAGUUGGGGAAUUCUCUAAGCCUGAGGAGGUAACGAAAUUUUUUAGUGCCCAUGGAGUUCCUGUCAAUUAUGUUGAGAAAGCUGGUAUUCCAUGCAGAAAAAAGAUGUAGUAGUGCAGAACUUGAAAAGCUGAGGAUUUGGCAAUGAUCAUACCGCGGCAUGCCAGGUUUGACUUUAAAAUCCAAUUUCUUUAUUUUAAUCUUUCUUGUCUGCCCCAAAUUAU